rnacentral:rRNA from 1 species
GACGAACGCUGGCGGCGUGCCUAACACAUGCAAGUCGAGCGAAUGAAGUUCCUUCGGGAACGGAUUUAGCGGCGGACGGGUGAGUAACACGUGGGCAACCUGCCUCAUAGAGGGGAAUAGCCUUCCGAAAGGGAGAUUAAUACCGCAUAAGAUUGUAGUACCGCAUGGUACAGCAAUUAAAGGAGCAAUCCGCUAUGAGAUGGGCCCGCGGCGCAUUAGCUAGUUGGUGAGGUAACGGCUCACCAAGGCGACGAUGCGUAGCCGACCUGAGAGGGUGAUCGGCCACAUUGGGACUGAGACACGGCCCAGACUCCUACGGGAGGCAGCAGUAGGGAAUUUUCCACAAUGGGCGAAAGCCUGAUGGAGCAACGCCGCGUGCAGGAUGAAUGCCUUCGGGUUGUAAACUGCUUUUAUAUGUGACGAAUAUGACGGUAGCAUAUGAAUAAGGAUUGGCUAACUACGUGCCAGCCGCCGCGGUAACAC